UCUGCGGUGGGAGGGGAAAAAUGGCCGCUCGCGGAGCGACUCUCGGAACGACGCGCGAUAACAACACAAACACAACCCCCUCAGAAUGUGACAGCUGACCCGAACCGACACCAGCACACACGCCGGCUUCUGAACGGAUGGGUGUCGAGGCAGGUGGCGGGGAAGUACAGGAACGACGGCCUUUGUGUUUAAGUUGUAAUUUUGAGGGAAAGAGGUGAGUUAGCCAGCCUGCUAACGUUAGCCACGCGAAACGAACCAGAACCAGAUCAAGAAACACGAAACCAGACCACUGCAGACUGCUUCUUACUGCUAGAAUGAGCGGGCCGGGUCAGGACAGCGAGCCAGAGGCCAAAGUGCUUCAUAUUAAACGGCUGUACAGUGUGCAAUAGACUGGCAUGUCUUAACGUCAAUAUUAGGUCAAAAAUGGCAAAAAAAGAAACCGCUUUCUCCUGAAACUCGUCAGUCAUUCAUUGUUUUGAGGAAUAAAGGAUAUACAAUGCUUGAAAUUGCUUAAAAGAUUUCAUACAAAGGUGUACACUACAGUCUUCAAAGACAAAGGACAACUGGCUCUAACAAGAACAGAAAGAGAUGUGGAAGGCCAGAUGUACAACUAAACAAGAGGAUAAGUACAUCAGAGUCUCUAGUUUGAGAAAUAGACGCCUCACAUGUCCUCAGCUGACAGCUUUAUUGAAUUCUACCCGCUCAACACCAGUUUCAUGUACAACAGUAAAGAGAAGACUCAGGGGUGCAGGCCUUAUGGGAAGAAUUGCAAAGAAAAAGCCACUUUUGAAACAGAAAAACAAAAAGAAAAGGUUAGAGUGGGCAAAGAAACACAGACAUUGGACAACAGAUAAUUGGAAAAGAGUGUUAUGGAUCUUAACCCCAUUGAGCUUCAGCUAGACUGUAAGGUGCGUGAGAAGUGCCUGACAAGACAGCCACAUCUAUGGCAAGUGCUACAGGAAGUGUGGUGUGAAAUGUCACCUGAGUAUCUGGACAAACUGACAGCUAGAAUGCCAAGGAUCUGCAAAACUGUCAUUGCUGCACGUGGAGGAUUUUUUGAUGAGAACUCUUUGAAGGCUGUGGUGGAAACGGUACACAAGUUGGAUAUUAUUAUCAGCGGCAAGUCAUCUUACAGGGAGGUCUUUAAACCUGAAAAUAUCAGCUUGCGGAACAAGUUGCGAGAACUUUGUGUUAAGCUGAUGUUCCUGCAUCCUGUGGACUAUGGACGCAAGGCAGAAGAACUGCUGUGGAGGAAGGUCUACUAUGAGGUCAUACAGGUCAUCAAGACCAACAAGAAGCAUAUUCACAGCCGCAGUGCUCUGGAGUGUGCGUACAGGACCCAUCUGAUUGCCGGGGUGGGCUUCUUUCAACACCUGCUGCUCUACAUCCAGUCACACUAUCAACUGGAGCUGCAGGACUGCAUUGACUGGACACACGUCACAGACCCGCUCAUCGGUCGUAAGAAACCAGUCUCAGCCACCCUUAAAGAGAUGGAGUGGGCCCAGAUGGCAUGUCACAGAUGCCUUGUGUACUUGGGAGAUCUCGCGCGGUACCAGAAUGAACUGGCGGGAGUGGAGGCAGAGCAGCUGGCUGAACGCUUUUAUCAUCAGGCCCUGUCUGUCGCACCUCACAUCGGAAUGCCAUUUAAUCAGUUGGGUACGCUUGCUGGAAGUAAAUUUUAUAACGUGGAGGCUACUUACAAUUACCUGCGCUGCAUUCAGUCGGAGACUCCCUUUGACGGGGCUUAUGGGAAUUUAAAGCGUCUGUUUGACAAAGCAGCCAAGAUGUACCACCAAGUGAAGAAACAAGAGAUGAAGAAACUUUCACCAUCACGCCAGAGGUCAAAAGACAUCAAAAGACUACUAGUGAGCUUCAUGUAUUUGCAGAGCCUGUUGCAGCCAAAGAACAGUUUGAUGGAGACGGAGUUGACAUCAUUGUGCCAGUCCGUGCUGGAGGACUUUAACCUGGUGCUGUUCUACCAGCCUCUUCCUGCUCAUGGCAGCCAUUCGGCCAGUGAGGAGGAGGAGGAACAUGAAUCUGUCUGCUCUGUGCUGCCUGAUAGCCUCAUAUUCAAGAUUGUGGUCACUUGCCUUAUGGUGGUGCACAGCCUGAAGAGAGGGGCUUCAAAGCAGUACAGCGCCUCCAUCGCCUUCACAUUGGCUCUGUUCUCCCAUCUGGUCAAUCAUGUGAACAUUCGACUGCAAGCUGAGCUGGAAGAGGGGGAGAGUGAUGUCCCACCCUUACGCACUGAUAACACUGACAACCCUGAUGCCAGAGAUCACAGCAGUGCUGCUCCUUCGGAGGAGAGAACCAUUCAGAACGGCUCACUGGAAGAAGAGGAUGAGGAGAAAGAGAAUGAGGAGGGCAAGCCCAAGGGCAAUGGCAGGACGGUGGAGAUGAAGAAAGGGUUGGAGAAAAAGAGGUCCGCUGAGGAGAAGCAAAAGCAGAAGAGGAAGUUCUCACGGCUCUCCAUGCUCCGCCGCAGACGCUGCGCACACAAGCAGGACGAGAGUGACCUAAGCGAAGGAUUUGAGAGUGACGAAGAAGAGGAUGACGAAGAUGUCCGGCCAGUUGACGGUCUAGGAGCCUCCAGGGUCCAGGUGAAUGCUUUAGGGAGGGAGGUGAGGAGGGAACCGCUGGCAGAGGAUGGCAGCUGGGAAAGCGGUUCAGAGGAGGAUGAGGCCGGCACAGCCUUUGAUGUGGAGACAGAUUCUGACAUGAACAGUCAGGAGUCUCGUUCGGACCUAGAAGACAUGGAGGAUGCCGAGAAUGCUCCACAACAGCAGCAGCAAGAGGAAGAGGAGCAGCCACAACUGUCUAGGGAGGAAAACUCGACCCCUCCAGUAACCAAUGGCCCUCUAGUCUCCAAUGAUGCCAGUAUCAGCAGUAACCUGCAGGCCAUGUCCUCUCAGCUUUUCCAGGCCAAACGCUGCUUCAGGCUUGCACCCACCUUUAGUAAUGUACUGCUUCGCCCCCCGUCUACCAAUAAGCCCACCCCAGACUCAAACCCUGCCCCUACGCAAGAAGUCACACCCCCUCCUGGUGAAACGCCAAGCAACAUCAGUCCGGAGAUUGCUAAUGGAACCAAUGACAAUGAUCCUGACUCUGAUUCUGAAAGUAGUGAACACAGCAACCAAUCGUUUCACUGUGAGAAAACCCUUUCUGAGCGUCUGGAGAUUCUGACGAAUCAGGGACUCAUUCAGAUAGUUAAAGUCUUUUUGGAUUGGCUGAGGACAAACACUGAUAUCAUCCUCAUGUGUGCUCAGAGUUCUCAGAGCUUGUGGAACAGACUCUCAGUGCUUCUGAACUUACUACCUGAUGGCAGCAAGAUAUUGGAAGCAGAUUUGUGUCUGAAUAAGGAAGUAAAAGACCUUCUGAAUGAGUGUGAGCAGCCUGGUUUGGUCCAGACACUGCUGUUGCCCGAGGAUUUGGCCCUCCGUCACCUUCCUGCUCUUAGUGUGGCCCAUCGACGCCUGGACUUCACUAGCCAGAGACCCCCUCUUACUCCUCUUGUGGAGUCUGUGGUGCGCGUGUGCUGUAUUCGCAGCUUUGGGCACUUCCUCACAAAUCUCCAAGGCAACGUGUUACACUUCAACCCUGAGGCGGGCAUCUUCACCAGCAUCAGCCAAUCAGAGCAGGAGAACCUGGUUCAGCAGGCCAAGGCCCAGUUCCGCAUGGCAGAAAAGGAAGCUCGCAGGAACCGACUCAUGAGAGACAUGGCCCAGCUGCGCCUACAGUUGGAGGUUUCGCAGCUGGAGGGCAGUCUGCAGCAGCCCAAAGCCCAGUCCUCUAUGUCUCCUUACCUGGUACCAGAUACAGCUGUUCUCUGCCAGCACUUGGGUCUGCUCAGACAGCUGGCUGCCAGUGGCUGCUUUAUCAUCAUCAUCCCUCGCACUGGUUUGCCUUCAUGUCUCCUAAUGAUCUAUAUCCUGGGUUGCCAAAGUCAUAGAAAACAUGGAAAUAUCGUGGAACUUUAAAAGUGUUUUUAUCUUGGCCUAGUAAAGUCAUGGAAGUGAAUAAAAUCUUACGUUAGUUAAUAAUGAUGACGACAUUAUUUUAGAGUUAAUAAAGUUUGAGAUAUUAAUGAGUAAUAAUAAUUAAUGAUAAAAACUUGUAUUUAUAUUGCGUCUUACUAGCACUCAAGGUGCUUUACAAAGACAAAACAGAAAUAUGAAAACAAAACAAACAGAUCAAAUUAAUGAAUAACAAAACUCAGAAAAUCACCAAAAGUAAAACAUAACAAGGACAUGUCAAAUAAUCAGAGAUGGGUAAAGGGAUAGUUCACCCCAAAUUAAAAAUUAACUCACCCUCAUGCCAUCCCAGAUGUCUGUGCCUUUCUUUCUUCUGCAGAACACAAAAAUCUUUUGAAGAAUAUUUCAGCUGUAUAGGUUCUCACAAUGCAAGUAAAUGGGUACCAACAUUUUUAAGCUCCAAAAGCACAAAGGCAGCAUAAAAAUGCAGUGGUUUAAUCCAUGUCUUCAGAAGUGUGGGUGAGAUACAGAUACAGACCUUAAGUCCUAUUUUACUAUCAGUCUUCACUUUCACAUUUUUCUUAUUUUGUUUUUGGUGAUUCACAUUCUUUGUGCAUAUCGCCACCUACUAGCCAGGGAGGAGAAUGUAUUGUAAAAAAGCACUGUUGAUCUUUUUCUCACCCACAUCUAUUGUAUCGCUUCAGAAGACAUGGAUUAAACCACUUGAGUAUUAUGGGUUAAUUUUAUGCUGCCUUUAUGUACUUGUGGAGCUUAAAAAUUUGGUACCCAUUCACUAGCAUUGUAUGGACCUACAGAGCUGAAAUCUUUGUAUGUGUUCAGCAGAAGAAAGCAAGUCAUACACAUCUGGGAUGGCAUGAGGGUGAGUAAAUGAUGAGAGAAUUUUCAUUUUUGGGUGAACUAUGCCUUUAACUUUACAAGAUGGAGGUGUUAGGCAGGAUGUUCAUGCUGUUCUAUUCCAUACAUUGAAAGUGAAUGGUGACCUAGGGCUGUCAAACUCCAUAAAUGUCAUAAAAUAGCUUUGUGAAAGAAACGGACCACUUUAUUAUUCCCCGAAAAUCCCAUCAGACGUAGCCCAUUUAAAAUCUAAUUUGUGCAGUUUUAAGAAGCGCAUAUUGAAAUUCUGUUUGCAAGCCAUUGUGAUGUCUGAUUUCCUUCAGGAAUCUUUGGGUCUAUUCAAUGAGUUCACAAAUCAUUCUGACUGAUUUACUCGUGAGUUAGUCUGUAAUUAUUUACAAAAAAAUUAUAAUAAAAUAAUGACUAGUUAUUGAAAUGUAUUGGUCAAAAAUUUUGGGACCCCUGUCAAUCAUUUCAGCUUAGAUGCUAGAUACCUGAGUGGCAGCCUUGUGAUUUUAUUUACCAAUAUAUUCACUGACUUAAUACAGAUUUUACACUACUUGGUUCUUUUUAAUCAGCAAGUGUCAGUUGCACUAUGAAUGACUUUAAGAUUCUUCACUUCUCUAGAACUUAAACAAGUAAGAUCAAAACUUCUUUCAGUUUGGCAGCUCAGAUAUAAGGAAUAGUAAUCACAAAUGGGCCUUGUGUACAGAAGGUGCCAACCACAAGGAACAAUCAAUCAUUGUUGUUUGUAAUAUCAGUCAGCUGUGUUUGUACUAAGUGCUUGACUGAGAUGAAUUUUUGCUCUCUUGCAGUGAUUGAUGGUCUGGAUAUGCUGAAAAAAGAGAACGCUGGAGCGAGAGAUGGCAUCCGUUUCCUUGAGACAGAGUUUCGGAAGGGGAACCGAUACAUCCGCUGUCAGAAAGAGUCGGGGAGAAGUUUUGAGAGGGAUAAAUUAAAACGA